rnacentral:piRNA from 1 species
UGAUUACCUCUUCAUGCCGUUUUCUCUCA